GGCGAAAGUUUGUAUGUGUGUGUGUGUGUGUGUAUGUUUGUAUGUGUGUGUGUGUGUGUGUGUAUGUUUGUUACUCCUUCACGCAAAAACUACUGGACGUAUUGGGCUGAAAAUUAGAAUGGAGACAGGUUAUACCCUGGAUUAGCACAUAGGCUACUUUUUAUCCCGGAAAAUCAAAGAGUUC